rnacentral:rRNA from 1 species
AUUGAACGCUGGCGGCAGGCCUAACACAUGCAAGUCGAGCGGAUGAAGGGAGCUUGCUCCUGGAUGCAGCGGCGGACGGGUGAGUAAUGCCUAGGAAUCUGCCUGGUAGGGGGGGAUAACGUCCGGAAACGGGCGCUAAUACCGCAUACGUCCUGAGGGUGAAAGUGGGGGAUCUUCGGACCUCACGCUAUCAGAUGAGCAUAGGUCGGAUUAGCUAGUUGGUGGGGUAAAGGCCUACAAAGGCGACGAUCCGUAACUGGUCUGAGAGGAUGAUCAGUCACACUGGAACUGAGACACGGUCCAGACUCCUACGGGAGGCAGCAGUGGGGAAUAUUGGACGAUGGGCGAAAGCCUGAUCCAGCCAUGCCGCGUGUGUGAAGAAGGUCUUCGGAUUGUAGAGCACUUUAAGUUGGGAGGAAGGGCAGUAAGUUAAUCCCUUGCUGUUUUGACGGUACCAACAGAAUAAGCACCGGCUAACUUCGUG